CUUCUUUAAGCCCUUAUGUAAAUUUUUUUUCAUCCAAACGUAGGGCAGUAGUAUGUGCUUGGGACACCCAGUAGUUUGUGCUGAGUCACAGGGGGGAUGACUGGAUUUUAAAGAGGCUGGUGGAGGAGCUGGAAAGUCCUUAGGUGUGUCCUGGGACUGCUGGGAGCCACUGAUGGGCUUCAUUUGUAAGCACAGCAGCCCAAGAGACAACACAGCCCACCAACACAGAGCCCAAGGGUGCUCUACCACCGAGCUACACGCCCAGAAUCUCACUAGGUUGACUAGGUUAACCUCAAACUUGCCAACCUCCCACCUCAGCCUCCUGAGUCAUUGGGAUUACACUUUCUUCUGUUUUUCUUGGCCCAAGAUUUUUGAUUCUUUGCUUCUUCUUGGCUACAGCAGAGUCCAGCUUUGCUGGUAUAUAUAUUCCUUUUUCUUCCUCCCUCCUUUCCUGGCUGUCUGCCUUUUGACCCAGCCUUUCUGGUCUGGAAUGCUCUUCUGCUUAUCUCCUCUUCAUUCCUUUUGUUGGUGGUGGGUUUUCUCAGACAUACGUGCUCCAGACUUUUGUCUCUUCAGGGGGCUGUGGCAGUUCAUUCUUCCUUAUUCCCUUGAAGCCACUUCCGAGUAGCUGCUAGUCCUAGAACACUGGGUGACAUAAACACACUUCACAGCUCUCCCACAUGGUCACAUUUCAG
rnacentral:lncRNA from 1 species